GGCUCAGGACGAACGCGGGCGGCGUGCUUAACACAUGCAAGUCGAGCGGAAAGGCCCUUCGGGGUACUCGAGCGGCGAACGGGUGAGUAACACGUGAGCAACCUGCCCUCAGCUCUGGGAUAGCUCCGGGAAACCGGAAUUAAUACCGGAUACGACUACGGCCGACAUCGGCUGUGGUGGAAAGGAUUUCCGGCUGAGGAUGGGCUCGCGGCCUAUCAGCUAGUUGGUGGGGUAACGGCCCACCAAGGCGACGACGGGUAGCCGGCCUGAGAGGGCGACCGGCCACACUGGGACUGAGACACGGCCCAGACUCCUACGGGAGGCAGCAGUGGGGAAUAUUGCGCAAUGGGCGAAAGCCUGACGCAGCGACGCCGCGUGGGGGAUGAAGGCCUUCGGGUUGUAAACCCCUUUCAGCAGGGACGAAGCGCAAGUGACGGUACCUGCAGAAGAAGCGCCGGCUAACUACGUGCCAGCAGCCGCGGUAAUACGUAGGGCGCAAGCUUUGUCCGGAAUUAUUGGGCGUAAAGAGCUCGUAGGCGGUCUGUUACGUCUGCUGUGAAAACCCAGGGCUUAACCCUGGCCUGGCAGUGGAUACGGGCAGACUAGAGGCAGGUAGGGGAGAAUGGAAUUCCCGGUGUAGCGGUGAAAUGCGCAGAUAUCGGGAGGAACACCGGUGGCGAAGGCGGUUCUCUGGGCCUGUACUGACGCUGAGGAGCGAAAGCGUGGGGAGCGAACAGGAUUAGAUACCCUGGUAGUCCACGCCGUAAACGUUGGGCGCUAGGUGUGGGGUCCUUCCACGGAUUCCGUGCCGCAGCUAACGCAUUAAGCGCCCCGCCUGGGGAGUACGGCCGCAAGGCUA
rnacentral:rRNA from 1 species